ACGGGUGAGUAAUGUCUGGGGAUCUGCCCGAUAGAGGGGGAUAACCACUGGAAACGGUGGCUAAUACCGCAUAACGUCGCAAGACCAAAGAGGGGGACCUUCGGGCCUCUCACUAUCGGAUGAACCCAGAUGGGAUUAGCUAGUAGGCGGGGUAAUGGCCCACCUAGGCGACGAUCCCUAGCUGGUCUGAGAGGAUGACCAGCCACACUGGAACUGAGACACGGUCCAGACUCCUACGGGAGGCAGCAGUGGGGAAUAUUGCACAAUGGGCGCAAGCCUGAUGCAGCCAUGCCGCGUGCAUGAAGAAGGCCUUCGGGUUGUAAAGUACUUUCAGCGGGGAGGAAGGCGACGGGGUUAAUAACCCUGUCGAUUGACGUUACCCGCAGAAGAAGCACCGGCUAACUCCGUGCCAGCAGCCGCGGUAAUACGGAGGGUGCAAGCGUUAAUCGGAAUUACUGGGCGUAAAGCGCACGCAGGCGGUCUGUUAAGUCAGAUGUGAAAUCCCCGGGCUUAACCUGGGAACUGCAUUUGAAACUGGCAGGCUUGAGUCUUGUAGAGGGGGGUAGAAUUCCAGGUGUA
rnacentral:rRNA from 1 species